rnacentral:rRNA from 1 species
UACGGAGGGUGCAAGCGUUGUUCGGAAUUACUGGGCGUAAAGAGUGCGUAGGCGGCUUAGCAAGUUGGAAGUGAAAUCCCGGGGCUCAACCUCGGAAUUGCUUUCAAAACUGCUAAGCUAGAGUAUGGUAGGGGAUAGUGGAAUUCCUAGUGUAGGGGUGAAAUCCGUAGAUAUUGGGAGGAACACCAGAGGCGAAGGCGACUAUCUGGGCCAUUACUGACGCUAAGGUACGAAAGCGUGGGGAGCAAACAGG